rnacentral:rRNA from 1 species
ACGGUCAAACGUUGGUAGUUUUUCUUAAAAAAUUAAUUUUUAAUUUAGAGUUUAAGUAAAAAUACUUAAAUUUUAUAAAAAGACGAUAAGACCCUAAAAGCUUUAUUAUACUAACUAAGUCUUUAUGUUAGCUUUGUAUAAAAAUAUUUUUACUGGGGUAGUUUUUCUAAAUUUUAGAAAAUAAAUAUACUUUAUUAGGUUGUUUGAACCUUUAUAUAAGGGUUUUGUUUAAGUUACUUUAGGGAUAACAGCGUAAUAAUUUUGGAGAGACCAUAUUAAUAAAAUUGAUUGCGACCUCGAUGUUGAAUUAGUAAAUCUUU